AUGCGCCGCGUUUUUCCAGGAACAAAUCGAUGGAACGGGGCGGCGAGCGCAGAGCAGGAGGCGCAGCCCCGGGGCCGCCCGGGUGAGACCCCCAAGCCCUCCCGGAGGAGGGAGCCCGGCGGCGCAGGACGAGAACCUGCCCCGCGGCUGCGGCUCGGCGCGCCCCGCAAAGAUGAGUUUGGAGGAGCGAGUGCGCCGCGGACAACCUGGACGAGCGGGGAGAGGCUGGGGCUCCCCCCGGGGCUGGGGGAGCAGCACCCCCGGCGCGGUGGCCCCUCACGGUCGCCCCUCACGGCGGCGCCGGGCCCGGCCCGGGGCCCGCUCCGCUCCGCGGCGGGGCCGGGGGGAGCCUCUCCGGGCCGAGGCGGAGCAAACCCGGCUAAUGAUGUGCAGACGUGACUCCGCCGCCUUUCCCCCACUCCAUCGGAAGAGCAUAAAGGCCAAUAAAUUACCUCCGCUGCUUAUCUGAAAAUCCAUCUAUCCUGUCGCUAUUUUUUUUUUUCCCUCCGCUGGAGGAGAUCGCGUUUGUGCAACACGCCGAAGCCGCCCCUCGAGGGCGGGCUGUGGGGCAGCGCCCUCCGGCCCCCCCGGGAGGCUUCGGAGCCCGGCUCGGCCCCUCCCCGCCCCAAAUCCUGCCGAAACCAGCUGCUUGUGGGGGCAGCCCCGGCUGAGCUCUGUGUCCCCCCCUCCCCCGGGCAGUGCGGAGCCGAGCGGGGGCUGGCGGGGAGGGUCCUCCCCUGCGCCGCCGUCCCCGGGCUUCCCCCGGGCGAAAGCAAUAAAGCGGGUAAUUAGACUGCUAAAGACGGAUGUAAAUAACGGGGAGGAGGCGGCAGUGACAGGCGUGCGACGGGGCCGCUGCCCCCCGGGGAUGAGAAAAGGAACCCGCAGUGCUCCCCCCCCGGCUCUGUGAGAGGUGCACGAUGCCCCAGCGGCCGGAGGGCCCCGGCAAUUCAGGAGGGAACUCACCACCCAUCAGAGGGGCCCCGUGGCCCCCGGAACCCCCACAGCGUGCAGGGCGAGGGCCAGGGCAGAGGGGAUGCGGUGGGGGAACUGCUGCAAGUAUCAGCAGCCUUUCAAACCCCGCUGCAGCCCGGCAAACCCCCUGCAGGGGCUUUAAGUGGCCUUUCACGCAGGCUUCUGUCAAAGAAGUGUUUCUGUGACCCCACGGUCCCAGGGACCCACGGACACGGUAUUUUUCCCAGAAGCGUGAUGUAUAAGCAGCCACGCGUGUGAUCCAGCCCUGCUCAGCUCUCGGGCAGUGAGCCUGGGGGUGCUCCCCAUCGGUGCAGGGUGGGGUGAUCCAGCCCUGGCCCUCAGGUGACAGAUGGCUGAUCCUGACGAGCUGGACACAUCUUCUGCUCUUUGCAUGCUCUAGCACAGUGUCCUAGUCCUAGAUCCUGGAGAUGACCUGUCCUAGAGCCACCACCUCCAUACUGGUCCCCAAAGCUCUCUGGGCAGAGGAGGAGAAAAGUACCCUCAAGGCAGCAAGCAAAAACACCACCCUGGGUGGGCAAAAGCAUGAGGCACAAAGAACCACCAGGCGGCCCGAGGGUGACGUGAUGAGCUGUCUUUGCAGAUGUGAUUGUCACCAGGAGCACACAGGAGCUGCAGCACAGCAGCACAUUGCCCUGAGCUGGCUGGCCUGUGUUUGCUUUGUCCAUCUGUGUGUGGCAUUUGGGGACAAAGUCCUCUCAGGGUGUGUGUGGG
rnacentral:lncRNA from 13 species